CCGUGCUAGACGGGGAGGUAGCGGUGCCCUGUAACUCGCAAUCCGCUAUAGCGAGGUUGAAUUCCUGUCUGAGGUCUUGCCACGCAGGUUCCGGCGUGUUUGGUUUCGUGUUGAGAGCAGGGUCCUUCGCAAGGGACGCCCAUGAACCCGGUCAGGUCCGGAAGGAAGCAGCCGUAAGUGGUCACGUUCUUGUGUGGAAGGGUAGCCCGGCAGGAGCGAGCCGGCAUGUCCGGCUGGAUGGCAACGAUCAGGGGCAGGUGCACGG
rnacentral:SRP_RNA from 1 species